GGCGGAUGUAGCCAAGUU
rnacentral:tRNA from 1 species